CACGACUACAUUAGAUACCCCUGUAGUCCUAGCCGUAAACGAUACUCGCUAGGUGUCGGCCACGGUGCGACCGUUGUCGGUGCCGUAGGGAAGCCGUGAAGCGAGCCACCUGGGAAGUACGGCCGCAAGGCUGAAACUUAAAGGAAUUGGCGGGGGAGCACCACAACGGGUGGAGCUUGCGGCUUAAUUGGAUUCAACGCCGGAAAUCUUACCGGGACCGACAGCAACAUGAAGGCCAGGCUGAAGACUUUGCCGGAUUAGCUG
rnacentral:rRNA from 1 species